AUUGAACGCUGCCGGCAGGCCUAACACAUGCAAGUCGAACGAGAGGCGGAUGGGUGAGUAAUGUCUGGGAAACUGCCCGACGGACCGGGAUAACUACUGGAAACAGUAGCUAAUACUGCAUAACACCGGAUGUGCUCAGACGGGAUGAGCUAGCAGGUGGGGUAACGGCUCAUCUGGGCGACGAUCCCCAGCUGGUCUGAGAGGAUGACCAGCCACACAGGAACAGAGACACGGUCUAGACUCCUACGGGAGGCAGCAGUGGGGAAUAUUGCACAAUGGGCGCAAGCCUGAUGCAGCCAUGCCGCGUGUGUGAAGAAGGCCUUCGGAUUGUAAAGUACUGUCGGCGAAGAGGCGUUACUCGCAGAAGAAGCACCGGCUAACUACGUGCCAGCCGCCGCGGUAAUUC
rnacentral:rRNA from 1 species